rnacentral:rRNA from 1 species
CAGCSCGUUKYUCGGRGAAUUAUUGGGCGUAAAGGCUCGCAGGCGUUCUUAGUCUGAUGKGAARGCYCCCCGGCUCAACYGGGGAGGUUCAUUGGAAACUGGGAAACUGAGUGCAGAGAGAGAGUGGAAUUCCACGUGUAGCGGUGAAAUGCGUAGAGAUGUGGAGGAACACCAGGUGGCGAAGGCGACUSUCUGGUCUGUAACUGACGCUGAGGAGCGAAAGCGUGGGGAGCGAACAGGAUUUAGAUACCCUGGUAGUCCACGCCGUAAACGAUGAGUGCUAAGUGUUAGGGGGUUUCGCCCCUUAGUGCUGCAGCUAACGCAUUAAGCACUYCGCCUGGGGAGUACGGUCGCAAGACUGAAACUCAAAGGAAUUGACGGGGGCCCGCACAAGCGGUGGAGCAUGUGGUUUAAUUCGAAGCAACGCGAAGAACCUUACCAGGUCUUGACAUCSUCUGACAACCCUAGAGAUAGGGCUUUCCCUUCGGGGACAGAGUGACAGGUGGUGCAUGGUUGUCGUCAGCUCGUGUCGUGAGAUGUUGGGUUAAGUCCCGCAACGAGCGCAACCCUUGAUCUUAGUUGCCAGCAUUCAGUUGGGCACUCUAAGGUGACUGCCGGUGACAAACCGGAGGAAGGKGGGGAUGACGUCAAAUCAUCAUGCCCCUUAUGACCUGGGCUACACACGUGCUACAAUGGACAGAACAAAGGGCUGCGAGACCGCAAGGUUUAGCCAAUCCCACAAAUCUGUUCUCAGUUCGGAUCGCAGUCKGCAACUCGACUGCGUGAAGCUGGAAUCGCUAGUAAUCGCGGAUCAGCAUKCCRCGGGGAAUACGUCCCGGGCCUUUACACACCUCCCKUYUCUCCGCGAKAKUKGCAACACCCKAAGUCGGGGGGGAGGUUGUGGGUUYCUCUUGGAAGGGGGCGAUGGAGGAAAGGKGUGGAGWAGGSC